CAGGGAAUAAAUUAACAGGUAGAUUAUCUGCUUUGGGUGUAGGAGGUUGUGGGUUCAAAUCCCAUUUCCCUGA
rnacentral:tRNA from 1 species